rnacentral:lncRNA from 1 species
ACAGUCAAAAAGGCAGAUGUUAACAAGUGUUGAAAUGUUUUUGUCCUACUUUAAACGAACGUGUUUGGCAGAAGGAGAUAUCUCUACAAAGAGAAAACUGGUAUCCUACUUCUUGGCUAGAUAUUUGCUGAAUGAGCAACAGAAAAUUGUAUGCCACUCAGUGCACCAGAGAGGGAACUUGUGAGAGAAGUCUUUGGAAAAGUCACCAUCUGGGCAAGGAAAUUGUAAGUCAUAUAUGAACAGAAGAAUUAGGAAAUGUUGAGGGUAGUGACCCAGUGGAAAUUCCUGAAAUGGCUGGAUGAAGAAAGAAAAACAUUAGAUAAAAUUAUAAAACCUAUAAUUAUCAUAUCAAGAAAGCAUCUAUCUCUAGUGGGCUACAUGUGCAUCCAGAAAAGGAGCUUGGCUUUGGCCAUUUUGAUUGGAAACUAAUUGAGGCAGUUCCUUGGAAGAGAGUAAUAGAAACAGGAAGAAGUUGCAGAAUGUGUUACUUUAGGAACAGUUGUGGGGAGAGCAGACAAGAGCAGAAGAGGUGGUUCAAAGAAGUUAGUCA